rnacentral:rRNA from 1 species
UACGUACUGUGCAAACGUUAUUCGGAAUCACUGGGCUUAAAGGGUGUGUAGGCGGCCGAUUAAGUAGGGUGUGAAAGGCCUCGGCUCAACCGAGGCAUUGCGCUCUAAACUGAUCAGCUUGAGUGAGAUAGGGGUGUGCGGAACUUCCAGUGGAGCGGUGAAAUGUGUUGAUAUUGGAAAGAACGCCGGUGGCGAAAGCGGCACACUGGGUCUUCACUGACGCUGAGACACGAAAGCCAGGGGAGCGAACGGG